GAGGGUACAGCUCAGUGGUAAGGUGCAUUCCUGGCAUGCACGAGGUCCUGGGUUCAAUCCCCAGUACCUCCA
rfam:Camelus ferus unplaced genomic scaffold scaffold115, whole genome shotgun sequence.